CACAAUGCCAAUUUGUUGUGAAGCUGGACACAAGUGCUGGGAGAUUAUUCUAGUUCUUAUCUCUGCUGGCUUAGGUUUUGUUGGUAACAUAGUAGAAAGUGAAAUUCCUGGAUUUUUUUCAGUGUACCACUUUCUUUCAAAGAGUACAAAUCUUCAGAAGCAGAAUGUUAAAAAGACAGCAGGAAAAACAGAAUGCCUCAGGAAUACCGUGGCCUAAUUCUGGGUUACAAGGAAGAAUUCACUGUGUUGUUUCUGUUUGUGAUACUUCAGUUGGAGACUUGGAUGUAUUUUAUGAACUUGCAAAACUGAAGCCUCCAAUUUUUUCUUCCUAAAGACAGUUACAACAGCUGCUAUAUCUACAUUUUAAAUGCUACAUAUCAUGAUUUGUGCAAUAUUUUCAUAUUUUAUGUAAAAAAUAUUUCUAUUCUACAGUAUUUCUGUCCUUAUUAAAU
rnacentral:lncRNA from 1 species